CAUCACUGAGGACUGCUGCUGCUUUCUGUUUGCUCCUCGUUCUCUUCUUCAGUCUCCUGGAGCAGCGAGGAUCGUUGGACUCACAGCAACAGAGGAGACGCCAGAAACAAACCUUCAUGAGGACUUAGUAAAACCUGCUUUAACUGAUGUGGUUCUGGUCCAGUAGAACCCAGCUGGGCUGCUGCUGAUUUCUCCCCUUCAUCAAGUCCUGACUCAGCAGUUUUUCUCUUUAUGUCCAAGUUUGUGACUGAAACCUCAGAGUUCAGAGAGAAAGUGUUUUGGUGAGCAGCAGUGUCUGAUAAAGAGGUUAAUAAUGAGGAUUAGCUGCUGAAGGACUGGAUGAAGUCAGACUGUAGAUGUUGCUGGUUGUGUGUUGCUGAUGCUGGAGCUGAUGUGUUGCUGACUCUCCUCCUCUGUCUCCUCUCACAGGGAGAAGAUGAUCUGCAGGAUCCUGCUGCUCAUCAUCCUCAACUCAUGUCUCUGUGCAGCAACAUUUGUAGUGAAUGUGACACAGAGCUCCUAUCAGGCAGAGGAGAACCACAGCAUCACUCUGGAGUGGACCUUCACCACCACACCUGAUGGAUCCUGGAGAGAUCUGUUCAUCUACUGCAGCUUGUUAACUCCUAGGAAAGAAUCAGUCCUUUAUCAGGUCCAUGAUGGUGUUGAGGUGUCAGAGUCUCAGGAUGAACAGUUUUCAGGACGAGUCCAGAGUGACAAAGACGUCCUCAGAGAAGGACGAAUCAGACUCCAUGUGUCCAGACUGAGGACUGAAGACUCUGGUCUGUAUCUGUGUGUUAUGUGAAGACUGAUGAAGGUUCUGGUUCUGGAUCCUGUCAUCUCAACGUCUCUGCAGCUGCUGAUCAGCUCCAACCUCACACUGAGAAUCCACAACCAGACGAUGGAGGAAGGAGCGGUCUUUAUUAUUUCCUGCUUCUGUUCCCUCUCA